GUCUUCUCACUUUGGCAGCACAUAUGCUACAAUUGAACAAUCCAGAGAUGAGCAUGGCCCUGCGCAAGGAUGACACACAAAUCUGUGAAGCGUUCCAAAUGUUU
rnacentral:snRNA from 1 species